UACGUAGGGUGCAAGCGUUGUCCGGAAUUAUUGGGCGUAAAGAGCUCGUAGGCGGUUUGUUGCGUCGGCUGUGAAAUCCCGAGGCUCAACCUCGGGUCUGCAGUCGAUACGAGCAAACUAGAGUGUUGCAGGGGAGACUGGAAUUCCUGGUGUAGCGGUGAAAUGCGUAGAUAUCAGGAGGAACACCGGUGGCGAAGGCGGCUAUCUGGACAGAAACUGACGCUGAGGCGCGAAAGCUAGGGGAGCAAACAGG
rnacentral:rRNA from 1 species